GAACCAGCCAAGUAGCGUGCAGGAUGACGGCCCUAUGGGUUGUAAACUGCUUUUAUGCGGGGAUAAAGUGAGCCACGUGUGGCUUAUUGCAGGUACCGCAUGAAUAAGGACCGGCUAAUUCCGUGCCAGCAGCCGCGGUAAUACGGAAGGUCCGGGCGUUAUCCGGAUUUAUUGGGUCUAAAGGGAGCGUAGGCCGUCUGAUAAGCGUGUUGUGAAAUGUCGGGGCUCAACCUGGGCAUUGCAGCGCGAACUGUGAGACUUGAGUACGCACAAAGUGGGCGGAAUUCGUGGUGUAGCGGUGAAAUGCUUAGAUAUCACGAAGAACUCCGAUUGCGAAGGCAGCUCACUGGAGCGCAACUGACGCUGAAGCUCGAAAGUGCGGGUAUCGAACAGGAUUAGAUACCCUGGUAGUCCGCACGGUAAACGAUGGAUGCCCGCUGUUGGUCUGAAUAGGUCAGCGGCCAAGCGAAAGCAUUAAGCAUCCCACCUGGGGAGUACGCCGGCAACGGUGCAACUCAAAGGAAUUGACGGA
rnacentral:rRNA from 1 species